UAGGGAAUCUUGCGCAAUGGAGGAAACUCUGACGCAGCGACGCCGCGUGGGUGAUGAAGGCCUUCGGGUCGUAAAGCCCUGUCGGAGGGGAAGAAACACGGUGGUGCUAAUAUCACUACCGCUUGACGGUACCCUUAAAGGAAGCACCGGCUAACUACGUGCCAGCAGCCGCGGUAAUACGUAGGGUGCAAGCGUUGUUCGGAAUCAUUGGGCGUAAAGCGCGUGUAGGUUGCUAUGUAAGUCGAAUGUGAAAUCCCUGGGCUCAACCGAGGAAGUGCAUCCGAAACUACAUAGCUCGAGAACGGUAGAGGAAGGUGGAAUUCCAAGUGUAGAGGUGAAAUUCGUAGAUAUUUGGAGGAAUACCGGUGGCGAAGGCGGCCUUCUGGACCGGUUCUGACACUGAGACGCGAAAGCGUGGGUAGCAAACAGG
rnacentral:rRNA from 1 species